AAAAAGGGUGCUCGUCUUUGCAUAAUACACAAUUCUUGCAGAGUUUUACUUAACACUCUGAGUGCAGACGCAUUGCAGCAUUGGUAUUUCUAUAAAGCAUUAGCAGAACAUUCGUUUAUUUUCGAUGUUUAUUGUUAAUGUGAAUAUCUGAUGCUCCAGUGGGGUAUGGCUUUGCAUAUCCAGUGCGUAAUUUUUGUAAAAAUGGGAAUGGGGGCUGUUGGAAAAAAGUGAAUUGCAGUUGAUUAACUAGCGUGUCACUUUAUUGGACGCCCUU